GGUUUGAAGUUUUGGAAACAAUGGAUUUUGAACAUCUAUAAAGACGUUCGACUCGUUAUCAAACUC
rnacentral:tRNA from 1 species